rnacentral:rRNA from 1 species
GACGAACGCUGGCGGCGUGCUUAACACAUGCAAGUCGAGCGGUAAGGCCUUUCGGGGUACACGAGCGGCGAACGGGUGAGUAACACGUGGGUGAUCUGCCCUGCACUUCGGGAUAAGCCUGGGAAACUGGGUCUAAUACCGGAUAUGACCUCCUAUCGCAUGGUGGGUGGUGGAAAGAUUUAUCGGUGCAGGAUGGGCCCGCGGCCUAUCAGCUUGUUGGUGGGGUAAUGGCCUACCAAGGCGACGACGGGUAGCCGACCUGAGAGGGUGACCGGCCACACUGGGACUGAGACACGGCCCAGACUCCUACGGGAGGCAGCAGUGGAGAAUAUUGCACAAUGGGCGAAAGCCUGAUGCAGCGACGCCGCGUGAGGGAUGACGGCCUUCGGGUUGUAAACCUCUUUCAGCAGGGACGAAGCGCAAGUGACGGUACCUGCAGAAGAAGCACCGGCUAACUACGUG